rnacentral:lncRNA from 1 species
GCUCUGGUGCUGGCGGACCUCGGGUCGCGCAGUCAGGUAGCUGCCCGCUGGCGUCGGGCGGGUGCCGCCCUUGAACCUCUUUGUUCAUACACUGUCCUGCGGCCCGGACGGUGUCUUGACGCUGCAUGCCGGUCUUUGUCCUGCCGGAGGCACUGAGGACUGGCGGCUCCCGGGGCCUCAGGCCGAAGUUGUGCGAGCGCGGCCCAGGCGGGUGGCCCUGAGGCCGGGAGCCUCGCCUGGGCCGGAAACGGGGACAGCGGGGGGCUCCUGCACAGGGGACCCGCCGCGCGCUUCCCCGCCACGUUUGGGGAGGGAGCGGGGACGUCCUGGCGUUCGACCCUCGCCUCCGUAUCGGGACGGCGCGGCCCCAGUCAGCGCUGAGCACUUCUCGGCCGGGUGUUCUGACCGUCACCAUUGUUGCUCUGGACUACUCUUCAGCUGAAAGUUGUUUCAGGCAGGUUUGCUAGUCCGGAAUUGGGUGGGAGAGAAUUCCAAGGAGAGAGAGGAAAGGCAGAGGCAAUGGCAGUGAGGGAGCAGGAUGCUUCAGAGGAAUUCCAGUGGCUGCUGUGGAUACAUGGUGGCGGGGACAGGGGAACAGGUGCCACCUGAUCGUGCAGGUCCCUGUCGUCAUAUUCAGGAGUUUGGACUCUGCAGUCCACAAUCUCAGUCUUAUUUCUGCAGCUGCUCUAAGAUGGCGAAACUCACCUUCAGGACAUGCUCCCUUGGGCUAGGAGAUCAGGUGGGCUCCGGGUGAUGCGCAAGUCCACCCCUCUAGCUGCAGUUCCGCCUUUUUCUCUACAACCAAGCAAACAUUUUGGCAGGCACGUGUGAGUGACGACCUUGAAACCAAUCUGAUUUAUUUUUCUGAAAAGUAAGUUAUUGACAAAUGUCAAUUUUUAAUAUCAACUUAUUUAGGAUGUAUCUCCAAACCUAUCCUUACACACAGUAUGUCUCAGCAAGGCAGCUAUAAGCCCUGGUGAGCUAAUGAGUCUUCCAUCAGGAAAGUAAAAUGGUCAAAUAUUGUUCUAGGAAAAACAUUCUAUUGAUUUUCUUCAGAAUCUCUAGCAAAGCACUUGAUCAGGUACUCAGAAAACAUUACCAAAUUGAAGUGGCACCACGUAUGCAUUAAAGGAUUUGGGAAGGAAUCUCGAUUCAGCAUACAAGGCUUACGUUUCCUGAUGGGCUUUUCUUUAAGUAAAAUCAACAAAUGGUGUUCAGCACCUAUUGCUGAUUAGUGCUGUGGGGUGACACCAAGCAGUAUGUGAAAUGACCUCUAGUCUUAAGGAGUGCUCAUCGUGGUUGGGGACAUAAACUAACAUACUUUAAAUACUAGGCAACAAGUGAAACAUAUUGUAAGGAGUAAGGGUUGUAAUGUUUCUGUCCCCCGCCCCCCCCAAGUUCAUAGGUUGAAAUUAAUCCCAGCGUGAUGGUCUUUGGAGGUGGGGCCUUUGGGAAGUGAAUAAAUCAUGAGGGUGGAGCCUCAUGAAUGGGAAUAGUGCCAUAACGAGGCCAGAGAGCUCUCUUGCCCACUUUCCACCGUGUGAGGAUACAGUGAGAAGAUGGCCUGCAACCCAGAAGAGAGGCCUCACCAGAACCUAACCAUGCUGGUGCCUGAUCUGAGACCUCAGCGCCUCCAGAGCUAUGAGAAAUGAAUUUCUAAACCCAGUCUAUGGUACUUUGCUGUAGCAGUCUGAACAGUCUAAGACAGGGAUGAAAAAGCUUCAAGGAGCAAGUUUGUGAACUGAGCCUGGAAGGAGGAGUAGGAUCUGACAAAGGGUUAGAAGAGGAAGGACUCCAAGCAGAAGGAGCAAACCUAGGAAAGAGACUGAGGGAAAAAUUCAGGAGACCAAACUCUCAUGCGCAGGAGGUUCAUGCUGAGGGGAGCAGGAAGCAGAGCUGGACUGGGGAGGCCUUGAAGGCAGGCAGAGCAAGGAGCCCCACCAGGUGACUGCUCAUUGGCCUCCCAGAUGGAUUCGAUGGUAUCGCUCAGAUGAUGGAACAAAAAAGAAAAAGAGAAAACACAAAUGUGACAUGUGAAAAAUAGGAAUGAAAGAGAAAGAUAAAAGAGAAGGAAAAUCUUCCCAGGUCUAGAAGAUACAUUCUCGUAUCGAAAGGGCCCAGCAGGUGCCCAGCACAACAAACCUAGGAAGACCAACACCAAGGCACAUCGCCACAGCAUUCAGAACACCAAGGAUAAAGAAAAGAUCUUCAGAGUUUCCUGAAGGAAAAAUGAAAAGGUCACAUUUAAAGGACUGGAAAUCAGAAUGGCAUGGAAAUUCUCCACAGAAUCCCAGGAAGCUGGAAUACAAUAGGGCAUUAACUUCAAAAUUCUGAAGAAAAUAAUUCUAACAUAGAAUUCAACUCUCACUAUAUUAGCUGUUUGUGGGUAGGAUGUAGAUAUUUUCAGAUAUCCUUAUCUCAGAAAGCUACUGGAGGAUAUUCUUCUCCAAAAUUAAGAAAUUAGCCAAGAAAGAGGAUAAUAUUUGGGACCUAAAAAACAGGAAGUCCCAGCUUAGGAGAGAGGAGAAGGGAAGUACUAGGACAGAAGCUAGGACUUAUACAGUAGGGGAUAGAGGCCUCUAGGAGAGAUGUUUCCAGAAGGAAGUGAAUCACAUGGAAUGCCUGUUAUGGAUGAAUAUCUUAAAAGGGAUCUUCAGAAUUUGAUGAUGAUAAGUAAUAGCUAGAUAGGAAAGUGAAUAAGGAAAUAAAUGAGGCCAUUAUUGAAUCUAGUGAAAACAAUAUGCAAAAAAGGAUAUAGCAUAUGUCUUGGCUGUGAAUAAAUAUGUAAUUAUAACAAGAUAAUUGCUGAAUGGGAGUUUAACCCAAAGGGGUGUUAUAAUUAUUUUUGAAAAAAGGGAGGUGACCUUACGUGUGUUUACAUAAAUGUGCAUGUGUCUAGGAAGUGAGGGUGGGAGAGUUAAAUCCUUGUCUUCUAGAGUUAGGAAGUCCAUAGACUAUACGCACAAUUGAAAAGUAAGGACAGAACAUUAAAUAUGUGUUCUUAGAAAAUAUGAGCAUAAGGCCGGGCACAUUGGCUCAUGCCUGUAAUGCCAGCACUUUGGGGGGCCAAGGUAAGAGGACUCUGUGAGCCCAGGAGUUGGAGACCAGCCUGGGCAACAUAGUGAGACCUCAUCUCUACAAAACAUUUUUAAAAAUUGGCCAGGCAUGGUGGCAUGCACCUGUAGUCCCAGCUACUUAGGAGGCUGAGGUGGGAGGAUCAUAUGAGCCCCAGAGUUUCAGUCUGCAGUGAGCUGGGAUUGUGCCACCACACUCCAGCCUGGGUGACAGAGUAGGACGCUGUCUCACACACAAAAAAAGGAAAAGAAAGUAGAGUAAAUUCUCUCAUAUACAAAAGAAAUAUAUAAGAGAUAAAUGUAAGAGAAGGAAUUGGGAGUGGGAGUGUGUGGUGUGGGCAACUACUAUUUUUGUUAACAAAUCUAGAAAUACCAUUUGAAUUUUAAGAUUAUAAAUAUUUGAUAUAAGGAAAAAUUUUUAAGUUUUAAAAAGUUAUUCACUAAUACAAGUGGUAGUAAGUGGCACGACUGUCACUCAAAUUCCAAUCUGUCUAAAUCUUGAAGCUUUAAAAAAUUGUUAUGACUACAGUACACUACAGCAAAGGGAAGGAAAAGUCAAAUAUUACUUCAAGGUCUCUUUCCUGGGAGACUACAAGAAAAGUUGCAUGCAGAAAUCAGUGUAACAAGAGCAAGAAGAGUUACGUAGGAUUAUCCACAUCCUGCUUCACCUCCUGCUUCAUAGCUCAGGCAAGCACUUCCCUGUGCUCUGCUGUGCACAGCCAGUUUAUCAGUGUGGGAAAAAAUCUAUAAAUAGGAUGGAGGUUUACAUAAAAGAGAAACAUAGGAAAAGAAAGGGGAAUAAAAAAGAAACUGUAGAGCGAAUUUGGGGGUUAAUGCAGAGGAAAAAGCUAAAGUGAGAGACAUCACAUCAGCUGUGAGAGAGAAACCCAGAAAAUGAAUGGCAGGGGCAUCUGGGACAGGUUUCUCUUGGUAACAAGUUGACCCUUUAAAUAGACUGCAAGAUGUAUUUGCAGUUUUUAUUUGGAUGCUGAAUGAAAUUUCUUUUGAGUAUAACAACCACAUGAGCUCAAGAUUUUAUUUGGGCAAUGAUAUGGUUUGGCUGUGUCCCCACCCAAAUCUCAUCUUGAACUGUAGUUCCUAUAAUCUCCACAUGUCAUGGGAAGGACCUGGUGGGAGGUAAUUGAAUCAUGGGGGCGGUUACCUCCAUGCUGUUCUCUUGAUAGUGAUUGAGUUCUCAUGAGACCUGAUGGUUUUAUAAGGGGCUUUUCCCCUGCGUCACUCCACAUUUCUCCUUGCUGCUGCCAGGUGAAGAAGGACUUGUUUGCUUCCCCUUCCAACACGAUUGUAAGUUUCCUGAGGCCUCCCUAACCAUGCUGAACUGUGAGUCAAUUAAACCUCUUUCCUUUAUAAAUCACCCAGUCUCAGGUAUGUCUUUAUUAGCAGUGUGAGAAUGGACUAAUACAGCAAAUUGGUACCAGGUAGUGAGGUGCUGUUGUAAAGAUACCCAAAAAUGUGGAAGUGACUUUGGAAUGGGGUAACAGGCAGAGGUUGGAACAGUUGGGAGGGCUCAGUAGAAGAUAGGAAAAUGUGGGAAAGUUUGAAACCUCCUAGAGACUUGGAGGGCUCAGAAGAUAGGAACAGGUGGGAAAGUUUAGAGCUUCUUAGAGACUUGUUGAAUGGCUUUGACCAAAAUGCUGUUAGUGAUAUGGACAAUGAAGUCCAGGCUGAGAUGGUCUUAGAUGGAGAUGAGGAAGUUGUUGGGAACUGGAGUAAAGGUCACUCUUGCUAUGCUUUAGCAAAGAGAAUGGCAACAUUUUGCCCUUGCCUUAGAGAUCUGUGGAACUUUGCACUUGAGAGAGAUGAUUUAGGGUAUCUGGUGGAAGAAAUUUCUAGACAGCAAAGCAUUCAAGAGGAAGCAGAGCAUAAAAGUUUGAAAAAUUUGCAGGCUGGCAAUGCAAUAGAUUAAAAAAACCCAUUUUCUGGGGGAGAAAUUCAAGUUGGCAACAAAUUUGCAUAAGCAAUGAGAAGAAGAAUGUUAAUCACUAAAACAGUGGGGAAAAUGUCUCCAGGGUAUGUUAGAGACCUUCAUGGCAGCCCCUCCCAUUACAGGCCUAGAGGCCUAGGAGGGAAAAAUGGUUUCUUGGGCAAGGCCCAGGCCCCCCCUUUCUGUGUGCAGCCUAGGGACUUGGUGCCCUGCAUCCCAGCUGCUCUAGACAUGGCUAAAAUGUGCCAAUGUACAGAUCAGGCUGUGGCUUCAGAGGGUGCAAGUGCCAAGCCUUGGCAGAUUCCAUGUGGUAUUGGUCCUGCUGGUGCGCCAAAGACAAGAACAGAGGUUUGGGAACCUCCACCUAGAUUUCAGAGGAUGUAUGGAAAUGCCUGGAUGUCCAGGCAGAGGUCUGCUGCAGGGGCAAAGCCCUCAUGGAGAAGCUCUGCUAGGGCAGUGCAGAAAGGAAAUGUGGGGUCAUAUCCCCCACACAGAAUCCCCACUGGCACACCACCUAAUGGAGCUGUGAGAAAAGGGCCACCAUUGUCCAGACCCUAGAAUGGUAGAUCCACCAACAGCUUGCAAAGUGCACCUGGAAAAGCUGCAGACGCUCUAUGCCAGCCCAUGAAGGCAGCCAGGAGGGGGGGGUUUACCCUGCAAUGCCACAGAGGUAGAGCUACCCAAGGCUGUGGGAGCCCACCUCUCGCAUCAGUGUGACAUGGAUGUGAAACAUGGAGUCAAAGGGGAUCAUUUUAGAACUUUAAGGUUUAAUGACUGCCCUAUUGGAUUUUGGACUUGCAUGGGGCCUGUGGUCCCUUUGUUUUGGCCAGUGUCUCCUAUUUGGAACGGGUGUAUUUGCCCAAUGCCUGUGCCCCAGUUGUAUCUAGGAAGUAACUAACUUGCUUGUGAUUUUGCAGGCUUAUAGGUGGAAGAGACUUGUCUUGUUUCAGACACUUUGGACUUGGACUUUUGAGCUAAUGCUGGAAUGAGUUAAGACUUUGGGGGACCGUUGGGCAGGUAUGAUUGUGUUUUGAAAUGUGAGGACAUGAGAUUUGGGAGGGACCAGGAGUGGAAUUAUAUGGUUUUGCUGUAUCCCCAUCCAAAUCUCAUCUUGAACUGUAGUUCCCAUAAUCCCCACAUGUCGUGGGAGGAAGUUUCUGGGAGGUUAAUUGAAUCAUGGGGGCAGAUACCCUCAUGCUGUUUUGGUGAUAGUGAGUGAGUUCUCAUGAGACCUGAUGGUUUUAUAAGGGGCUUUUCCCGUCCUUUGCUCUGCACUUCUCUUUGCUGCUGCCAUGUGAAGAAGGAUGUGUUUGCUUCCCCUUCUGCCAUGAUUGUAAGGUUUCCUGAGGCCUCCCCAGCCAUGCUGACCUGUGAGUCAAUUAAACCUCUUCCCUUUAUAAAUUACCCAGUCUCAAGUAUGUCUUUAUUAGCAGCAUGAGAACAGACUAAUACAGGUAACAAUUGACCGUCCAAAAAUUAGGAAAGACAAAAAGCCAAAACCAUGAAAACAUACUGAUUUCUACAUAGAGAAUGCACAUUAAAUGCUGCUGAAGUGUUUUAUUGCUGAUAAAAGGUAUCAUGUAGAAAGACAAUGUUCCUCUUCUUAUGAUCAUUGUAAUGGUGAAGAUGUCUGGUACUGCUGCAGACAUCAUGCAGUCAGGAAAUGGAGUGACUGACAGGGCAUGGAUGUCAGAGCAGAAAGAAGGAGAGCACUUGGGCCUUGACGUGGCAGAGCCACUACAUCAACCAGCACUCAAACCACCUUCUUUCCUGAUUAUAAGAGAGAGAAUCUUCUUUAUACAUAGUCAGAUAGUGAAUCAGGAUGUUCUGUUACAACCAAAAGUGUCCUGUUCUAGCUUCCAUCCAAGAAGGAAUAAUUCCUACAGAACUGGUCCUCCCACUUUAAAUAACUAAAAAACUGGACAAAAAUACAAAAUUACUAUUUUCAGACAACAGACAACAGGAAGUAAAGGAUGGAGAAUCUUGAAAGGAGGAAAACAAAUGAGGUGAGCCUAGUGGCUGCCCCAUCUCUGCCUAGAGCAGGGAAAAAUCAAUGACACAAAAGACUGGUUCUUUGAUAAGACUGAUACAACUGAUAAGCCUAUAAUACUCUGAUCAUAAUCUCUCAAGAAGAGAGAAGACACACAUUGCGCAUCCCAGCAAUGGAAGACAGUGUCACUACAGAAACCACCUGCAGUUAAGGAAUAAAAGAACAUUUGAACAACUUUAGAUAAGAAAUUCCUUGAACCAUGCAAAUCACCAAACCUGAACAAAGAAGAAGUAGAAAUGAUGAGUAAGCCUAUAUUAAUUGAAGAAGUUGAAUUAAGUAAACAAAACAAAACAACAACAAUAAAAAAAACCUUCCCACAAAGAAAAGGCCAGGUGCUAAUAGCCUCACUAGUGAAUUCUAUCAAACUUUUAAGGAGGAAAUAGCAAUCCUACACAAACUUUCAGAAAAUGGAAAAGCAAGAAAGUCUUCCCCAACUCAUUUUAUAAUUCACCUGGUGGCAGAGACAGGUCCAGUUCCACUUUGGGUCCUCAGCCCCUGUGAUGAGUCAGGAGUGAACAAGCCAGUGAGGAAAUGAAGUGGCCUUCUACUUCCUGCAUGUCUUGCCCUAGCCCACCAGCUCUAAGUCAGUGUGGGUUCCCCUCUGCCUGGAGAGUGGUUGGCUCCUUGGUGCCCAGAUGCCUGAGCUCUAGCCACUGAGAAAUGAGUGACAGCUGGCAGGUGGUGGUACUUUCUAACACAAUCAGUGCCUGGGACCUUCGCAACCUGCAAGCAGCCUCACAUCUUGCCUCAAUCAGCUUAUUAACAGGAAUAAGAACAGUCUCAAUAGUAGAAAAGCAAAUCAUAGUUUGUGAUGGUUCCUAAAAAAAAUUCAGACUCACCAACUAGGCUACUACUGAUCCCCCAAUGAAUAAAUUUUGAAGGCAUUGUAUGAUCAUGAGUUAUUAGUGAUGAUGACCGACAAAUAUGCCACUCCAGUUCCCAUUUUACUAAAAGGAACAAAAAAAAAAAAAAAAGAAAAUAUUGCAUCUUGAAAACAAAUCUUGAUGGUGAUCCAGAACUAUCCCUGUUCUGUUUCCUCAUUGGAAGUGGUGGAGAGAGGGAAUAGGAAUUACAAUGACAAGAAUGAAGGAAACUGUUGAAAGCAAGGAAUGCAACAAUAGAAACUAACAUUCUGAGAUUAGGAAAUAUGUUGAUUUGAAAGUGAGAAAAUACUUGCCUAAAUUUUGUUCCUUCUUUUUUUUCCCCUCUGAUACUUGGAUACUUGGGCUGUUUAUUGGGGUCCCUUUCUCUCCAGCCCAUUUAUUGGAGCAGGGCUUUGCAAAGCCGGUCUCCUAGCAGCCAAAUGCAGAAGGCCCAUUCAUAUUACAAUGGAAGGAAAGGAAAGAAAGAGCUUGGUUUGUUUAAACUGCCUCUGUCUUCAUUCACAGCCUGAUGUCCAUGUGCAUUGUGAGUCCACAAUGGCACUAAAGGACUCAUUGUGGCCGAAAACAAAUCAAAAUAAAAUAAGGGAUGCUAAGAUAAAAGAGUCAUGCAACAAAAUUGCUUAAAAAAUCUAAGUCUUACAUCUGAGAUUUAUGUUACCUUUUGGCUGUGUGGCCUAUUGACCGGUAUUUAUAACAACCGCUAGAGUUUAAUAAACAAAAAGAUAAAUGGGAACUUUAUGUACAUUUUUAAAGGCCUUACACAGAAGGGGUGGGUGUGCUGGGUUGCUUGGGAAGCUGUUUAAUAAUUAUUGUUCUUUGUUUGCACAACAUUUGGGGAGCCACACUCCGCACUUUGUGUUUAUUUUCCGUCUGAUAAACAUACCCUCCCUAUGCCCAUGUGGGCCAACAGCUCCCCAGCACGGGCCCCCAACCUCCACCCAGCCUGAACCAACAUUAGAGGUUGCAAUAACCCACGCCCAGUGCAGCCGGCAACAGGUGGAAAGUUGAAUAACUUCACACGUUUUUCGGGGGGAGGGGCGGGGUGGGCUGGAGGGAAGGCUUUGGGAGCCGAUUUAAGGAUUAGAUCAGAUGUUAUUGCUAGUGAAAAAUUAAACAGCCCGGUGCUCUGGGGAGUACAGAUUAAUAUAUUUAGUGACUCUGUGCACACAAAGGCCGCUCAUUGUGGCCACGUCUGAAUGCCUGUGAAUGGGAUGGAACGCACGCAGCCGGUCACCGCAGGUGCCCACAUCUGUUCUCCCCGGCAGAUGCUCACAGAAAGGGAGGCGGGGGCGGCGGGGAAGCACGGCGCGUUCGAAAGCUUCCACGGCCGCGCUCUCCGGGACUCCUCUGGAGCAGCCUGGGGGGACGCGGGGUCCCGUGGGGACAUUCGUGAAAGGGCGUGGAGGAAACCCUGAGCCGCACACGCCCACGGCCAACCAACCCUGCAGCCAGACAGGCCCAGGGGCCACUCCAGAGGCUGUGUCAGGCCCUGCGGGUGCGCGCCACGUUUCUGAGUUUAUUGUUUGCGAGCCUCUGAGCUCUGGGCCUUGAAGCCCCCCGCGUGCCCCCGCUCCCGGCAAGCUGAGCCCAGCGUGGGUGAUUGACAGGCCGCCCUGGGAACCAGGAGCGACAGGUGCCGCGACCUCCCUGUGGUGGGCACGGCCCGUCCGCCCAUCGCCCCUCUCAGCGCCUUUUCUUCCCCAUUCACUUUUUUACAAAGUCACAGGCUGCGAUUUCCAGGUGCGACGCCUCGACCCCCCGGAUGCAGCCGGAAAGGAGCCGCCGCGCGGAGGCGGAGGGUGGCGGCCGCAGGGGGCCCGUACCGAGGGGCCUGGGCCGGAGACCCCCACCCCGCGCGGGCUCCUGCAGCACCUCCUGGCGUCGGGAUCCGGGGUCUCGGCGGGCCGCGCUCCUCUGGGAACGCGCGGUUUCCGCUAAGAGCGCACAAAGGGCGCGCCCCGGCCCCGCCCGCCGACCCCGGCCCCCAGGGCUCCGAGGUGUGCGCCGUCGCCUCGCACAGCCCGGGGCCGGGCCGGCUGCACCCGGUGAGGUGGGAAUGCGGGCACGAGUCCCGCACGAGGCGGCGGCCGGGCGCGAGGCUGCGUGGGGCCGUCACGACGGCGACUGGGGUCCACCGGGAGGGCCCUGGCGCCGCCCUCCGCCCUCGCAGUGGCCCAGGGAUGACCCGCCGCACGGCCGCGCCGCCUGUGCCCUCGCGCUUUGGGCCUUGCACUGGUGCCCCUCGUAAUGCUGCCUGGCGCCGCCACCACCUCCAGGAAGCCCUCAGGUGCGCUCACUCCCCGUCGCGGAUCUCAGCGUCCGGCAAUCAUCGCACUGAAAACAGCCCCUCCCUGGGACACGCGGCCUCCUUCUAACCCCC